UCCCUGGUGGUUCAGUGGUUGACUCUGCACUUCCAUUGCAGGGGCCAUGGGUUCAAUCCCUGUCCAGGGAA
rfam:Ovis aries breed Texel chromosome 16, whole genome shotgun sequence.